GGAACACACCAUCAGAGCAAACUGAAGACGGUGCCACUCAUCUGGUAGUACUGACUCCAGCCAGGCAUGGAGAGCUGAGAUCCUGCCUGUGCAGGUGGCUAACUCAUCUCCUCUUUUCUAAGCUACCAACUCUUCCGGCCCUUCCUCUUCCUUCAGACAGGAUUGUGUAUCCCAGGCUGACUUCAACUCGCUGUGUAGCCAAGUAUGACUUUUGAAUCCCUAAUCCUCCUGCCUCCACCUUGCUGGGGAUUACAGGCGUGCGCCACCAUAACCCAAUUUAGGAGGAACUGGAGAUGAACUCAGGAUUUUGUGCGUGCUAGCCAAUCACUCUACCAACCGAGCUAAAAUCCCAGCCUGUUAUACAAGAAAGAAACGAGAGAUGGAGGGAAUUAAAAUGAGGGCAUGCAUGAACAUCAUCCCCCAAGUGCUGCCUCAGCAUCUCAGGUCUCCACCGGAGCUGCCUGCCCUUAACCACGGAGGAGCCGGGAGCUGUCACCUUUAAGGGGAACCAGCCCUUCACGCAGCACAGCUAAAGAUAAAAGGACCUCAUCACAGAUGUGUCUGCACCACGCUUGGGUGUCUCUGGCUGUCAGCUCUCCAGUGCCAAACAGAAGUGUCCCACUGCCACCCCUAAAGCCCUCGGAAUGAAGAACAAACUGCCCACCCAACAUCUGCUUCUAGGAGAGGUGUGUAGGCUGAGCUCUACUGGCAAGAGCUGUGUGACCCCAGGCAAGUCACUUGACCUCUCUGAGCUAGCAUUCUCAUCUGGAAAGCUGGCAUAACACUCCAUCUUCUCUAAGAUGCUGCGAGGAACGAAAAUAUGUAUCUGCUGUGCCCGUCUCAGCAUUUCAAGGUACUCGGGACGCUGGGCGUGGUGGCACUGAGGCAGGAUCUCUGAGUUCAAGGCCAGCCUGGUCUACAGAGUGAGUUCCAGGGCAGCCAGUGUCACAAGGGAGGCUUGCAAGCCACAGGACCUCUGAAAGUGCAGUCAAUGCUCUUACCCACUGAGCCAUCUCGCCUGCUUCCCUAUGCUGAUUUUUAACGUGCAGGCUGAACAAAACCAUCUUGCAGACUGGUAUACACUGUAGCAAGGCUUGAAUGCUGGGAUACAGGGGAUAGACUCUCUAGACUGGCUCUCCAGACAUCUCACAGGGCCAAAUCUUGCUGCCAUGCCCCUAUCCUAGUCUUAGCACAAGGAAAACCCUGCUACCUACUGCGAAUCAAUAAAGAACGAUGUACCUUCCUGGGCAUCCACAUGAAAAGGGGCCAUGUCUCUUUAAAGAUCUGGGGAUAAGACUUAGAGUAAUACACACACUGACAAAUCCACAUGGGUCCUCUAAGGACCCAUGUCUGCCAUGUUGGCCAAGGCCUGGACUACACCAGCUACCAAAGGAGGGGACAGUGCUUGCUCUGAGAGUCAGGGGCAAGGAGAUGUGAACCAUGGGCACACCAAGGGACUGGAAGCACAGGUGAACCUAGAACACAGACAGCCCGAUUUGGAAGCAAGUCUUCACAGCGAGAUACAGAGCUUUUAUUAGCUUUUCCUGCUCUCACUGUCCUCAGUGUCCCCUCCGCUGGACAUAGCAUUCUAGAGGAACAACAGGAAGUCAGAAGGCCCCAGAUCCAUCUGGGUUCAAGAAUCGGUUGUAUUUAAACACCUGAAACAAG
rnacentral:lncRNA from 1 species